rnacentral:rRNA from 1 species
UACAGAGGUGGCAAGCGUUGUUCGGAAUUACUGGGCGUAAAGGGCGCGUAGGCGGCCUACUGAGUCAGACGUGAAAUCCCCCGGCUUAACCUGGGAACUGCGUCUGAUACUGGAAGGCUUGAGGAUGGGAGAGGGAUGUAGAAUUCCAGGUGUAGCGGUGAAAUGCGUAGAUAUCUGGAGGAAUACCGGUGGCGAAGGCGGCAUCCUGGACCAUUACUGACGCUGAGGCGCGAAAGCUAGGGGAGCAAACGGG